AUUUAAAUAGCUUAUAUAUUAGAGCAUAAUAUUGAAGAUAUUAAGGAGAUUAAAAAAUCUUUAAAUA
rnacentral:tRNA from 1 species